AAUUUUCUGUAAAAAUAAUGAAGCAAUCCCCAGAAAAGGGGAAAGACUAAUGCUGAAAUCCCAACAUUUGCUCUUUCAUGGAACAAAUUGAACGGAAAACAGCAAAUGUAAGGCAUUUUCCCAACCUUAGCUUUGCCUUUGUCAAUUUGCCAGGGAUUUUUCAUCUUUUUUUAUUAAUUUCUACACGAAACAAAAGUUUAAUAAUAGAGAUCAAAAACUUUUUAUUUUGAGCAGAAAGGUGGCUAGAAACUUUAGAAAUCCUUCUACAAAGUUUGCAUUAUUUUUAACCUAAUUUCUGUAAUUUGGACGGGUUGCAAAAUUGGUGUCGCCACCUUAAGUAUCUCUAGAAGCCGAACGGUUAAGUAUUUUGGUGAGAUAAAUACUACGAUUAAUAUAAUAUGAUCGUUUUUCAACCCACUGCAAAAAAAUUGAACCUUUGAUUAAUUAUAGCGAAGUAAUACCACCAAAUAUGACAGGGGACAUUUUUUUGGGACACCCUGUAUAUACCUGGGGCCAUUUGCUGUUACGCCAUGCAAGGUGAAACGUUGAAUUUUUUUUUAACUUUAAGGCUGAUAAAUGAUAGGGAUAUGGUUUCCGUAACAAUAAUAACAAACCAAAACAACGAUAUGCUCUAAAAACACUGUGCUUAAAAUUUUCCAGGUUAACUUAGAAAUAUACCUAUUUGGGUUAAAUCAACAAGGACGUUCUCCCAAUUGGUACCUGACCAAGGCCUUAUGUGACAUAACAACAUGUAAUAAAUUUUGUAACACGCAAUUAAAUUGUCGUCAAAUGACUGGCUGAUUAUGAUCACGUGAUAUCAAAAAGUACCAUUUUCAUGAUCAAUGGAACGUUCCAUCCAGUUAGCUGAAACCUGAAAUCAAAACUGAAACCAAGACCCUGGGUCCAGCCGUGCAUUUUUG